rnacentral:rRNA from 1 species
UACGAAGGAUGCAAACGUUGCUCGGAAUUAUUGGGCGUAAAGCGCACGUAGGCGGCUUGGCAAGUCGGAUGUGAAAUCCCUCGGCUCAACCAAGGAAGUGCAUCCGAAACUGCUGAGCUUGAGUACUUAAGAGGAUCGCGGAAUUCCCGGUGUAGAGGUGAAAUUCGUAGAUAUUCGGAAGAACACCAGUGGCGAAGGCGGCUCACUGGCCCGUUACCGACGCUCAGGCGCGACAGCGUGGGGAGCAAACAGG